ACUGACAACAACACAAGUUGUUUUGUUAAACAUUUCUUAAAUUUUAGCCUUUUCUUAAAACAUGAGCUCGCCCACUAGUAAAAAUGUUAGCGAAACGAAUGGGAACAAGCCCAAGAAGUCGGGCAAAACGAAUUCAAAUGCAAAAAGCGGAUCCAUGGACACACGCGCUGAAUUGGCAGACCUCAUCAAAAAGAAGGCAGAGACUUCGGAACAACUGGCCAAUCUGGAGCGACAGAUCUACGCCUUUGAGGGGUCCUAUUUGGAGGACACCCAGCUGUGCGGGAACAUCAUCCGCGGCUGGGAGCGCUACCUGACCUCCAACAAGGCCACCAAUUCCAAGGCCGACAAACGGAAUCGCAAGUUCAAGGAGGCCGAGCGCCUCUUCUCCAAGUCCAGCAUUACCUCCAUGGCUAUAUGUAAUCCUGAGCGAGCCAGCGAAUCGGAUUCCAUUACCAAUGAAGACUCCAGCGACAAUCAGAUCUCAAUCAAUCAGAACACAACAACGGCCCACGAUGGAGCCACAACAAUUAAGAGCACUCCGAAAGAUGAAAAGGAUUCACCCUCGCAUCGAAAUGAAGUUAGUCUGGUCUCCAGUGCCGGAGUGGUGGCAGGACCCGCGAGCAGUGGUGGGGUCAACUCGGGAAACAAAGAUGUCCUUGGCACACCCACAUCAAAUACAAAGAGCAAAUUAUCCACCAACUCCAGUGCGACGGCGAAGAAGAGCGGACACAUAAACAAGAAGAUUCGACAUCGAUGAUGACUGCUGCUGUAGGGUCCGCACGCUCGAACGACCCACUCCUUAUGUUCAAAGUUUAGAAAUUACAAUUUGUACAAGUAAUAAAACAUUUCUACACGCAGGAUGGGCUCGGCUUCAAAAUAGCAGGCUUGGGCUUGAUUGAUGAGAUACGGAUUCCCCAGUCGUAGUUCGAGUUACUCUGGACUUCAUGCUGAUGUCACUCCACUGGUGAUUUGGAAAUAUUCUAAGAUAAAAUUUUUAAUUUUAACCUUAAUUUCAACAAAGGAAACUUCGUUUUAAAAAAUUUUAAGAUUUGAGAU